CACGUAGGGCGCGAGCGUUGUCCGGAAUUAUUGGGCGUAAAGAGCUCGUAGGCGGCCUGUUGCGUCCGCUGUGAAAGCCCGGGGCUUAACCCCGGGUCGGCAGUGGAUACGGGCAGGCUAGAGGUAGGUAGGGGAGAAUGGAAUUCCGGUGUAGCGGUGAAAUGCGCAGAUAUCAGGAGGAACACCGAUGGCGAAGGCAGGUCUCUGGGCCAUUACUGACACUGAGAAGCGAAAGCAUGGGGAGCGAACAGG
rnacentral:rRNA from 1 species